rnacentral:lncRNA from 1 species
UUUGUUAUGAACAAAAAAUAGAAACAACAAAAAAAGCUAUGGCACUAGAAUUUAAGAAAUGAUUUUUGUUUCAUUUUUACCUUUAUUUUCCUCCUUUUUUUGGGUUCAUUUCAUUUUGUUGUUUUUGUACUACAUGAAGAACUGUUUUUUGCCUGCUGGUACAUUACAUUUCCGGAGGCUGGGUGAAUAAUAAUUUUCUCAACCUCCCUCGGAUGGUGGCCUUAAGGCCAGGUAGUGCUUCAUGAGCUCCACUGGUUGGAUCUCUAGCUACUGGCCUCUAAAUACAACCCUUCUUUACUACAAAAACAAACAAAAAACACAAAAAAAAACACAAAAAAAAACAAAAAAACAGACAGAAAAAAUAAAAACAAAAAACAAUUUCUUUUUUUCUCACUUGUGAAGAGCACUACAAAAAAAACAAAACAAAAUAUAUUACAAAAUCUACAAGGCCUACUGUCUUUAUAAGUACACCGUUCGCAGUGUUUCAAUGGACAUAAUUCACAAUUCUGACCGCUUUUGGACUUCACAGUAUCCAGUUAGAACUGUGGAAUAUUUUGCUUCUGGUUGAACAGCAACCAGAGGAAACAAGGCCCUGCUGGUUUCCACCACGUCUGCUUUCUCACACACACCUGCAUCCACAACACACACAAAAGGGCUGAGGGGAGUGCAAGGCAGUGUGGCUUGGAUAGUGUGGAGUCCCUGCAGGAUGAGGAAGGAGAAUCAGAGGUUCCUCACCUGGAUUCUGCUCCAUCCCACGCUCUCUGGCUCACCCUCCCCACUGCUUUUCCCAUACCACCACUACCACCUUACAGCAGAAACCAAGAAGAGUCAGACAACGAGCAACGGUGGCUUUUUGUAAUUUAUUCAGUGUCUUCGCUGAGCCCAGGGCCUCAGCACAAUCAAGAGGGACUUUCACAGAAGGCAAAGAGGAACACAGAGGAAAAUCAAAGAUAUCAGAGGUUGCAACCUAUGGAUCUAGGUACAAGAGAAGGAAUUACCUGGGUCGAUGAGGGGCUCUGUGAAGUCAUCUGUGAGAUUAUCUACUGGAGUUUGUGCAUCCUGCAGUAUCAUUUGAACUGCUACUUUGUUUUUGAGUUAUGUGGUUCUCUUUUGGCUCUUACUGAGUUCUGUUGUUUCUUUUUUUUGGUUCCAUCUCAGAUUUCUGUUGAAGGAAGGUUCCUUUUGAGAAAGAGAUUUUCUAGCAAUGUUCCCUUG